rnacentral:lncRNA from 1 species
CAAUGGUAAAUUUUAUCCACCUUUUGUUUCUUUUGAUCCGUAUAUAAAACAUUUAUAAAAAAUAUUAAUGUUGCGUCACGAAUGAAGGUGCCGUGAGUCAUUCAUUCCAUUGUGGUCGCAUCGCAUUACGCAAAUUGUUGUUAAGAGUUCUUAUUCAUCUUUAUCUUUAUAAAUAAACGUGGACACUUCAGGUAUAGUUCCUAAUUUAAAGCACUUUGAAAUGAAUUUUUCAUUUUCUAAACUAUUCGAUAGUAGUUAGCAAAUGUUAAUGGAAGAUUAGAAAUACUUUAUGAAUCAAACUCUAUCAUUUAUUGACAAUGAUGCUUAUGAUUCAAUGACGUGUGCAUUUACAAGAUGAGGUCCAUUAUUGUGUAUGAUGAUGCUUUUGUAAAGAGAGAUCAAAGUAUCAAAUUAAGCCGUGUCAAUUUGGAUGGAGAAAAAGUCAUUGUCCAAACACAGCUUGCCGUUUAAGAAUACUUAUUGUUGUGCUUCAGCCUAUUAGGAUCACCCAUACAAAAUGAACAUUUCUUUUCUCAUCCUAUAAUCCAAAAAAAUGAAACUUUUUGCAGGGUUGGUUUGGAGGAUUAUUUUAAUGUGUUAUACGUAUUUUAAAUUAUAUAUUCCAAAAUUUUAUAGGACGCACGAAAAACUAAUAGAAUGGAAAAAAUAAACCAUCAUUCGAAAUUGUCGAGUUUUUUUUUUUUUGUAUAACUUGGUUUAUCUAAUCUCUAAGAAUCCUGAAAUCAGCAUAUCACACUCAUCCUCAAGAAUUUUCUUGAAUUCAAAACUCUCCAUGUCUAGUCUCUUUUGAUCCCUUUAAAUUUGACUCUGGAAAUGAGAAAGAGUACAAUUUUUUAUCUCUUCCACAUCUUUCUCUUUCAACGCAAAUGAUAACAUUGGAUCUUCUACCGUUUUCAACAUGCUCAUAAAAAUAUCUUUCUUGGAAAUCACGUUCAUUUAGCUAUAUCUCUUAGUUAUGAGUUUCUUUUCAAGUCUUCUAAAGAGUGUUAAGUACAUAAUUUAAAUUUUUUGUGACCUACUAAACUAAAAAAUUGCAUAAGUACAAUAUUUAUCGAAAAAAACUAGCUCCAAUGGCUAAUACAUCAUCUUCUACAAAAUCAAGCAUUGUUCGACUAUUCUCGUAGAUAAUGAGUGUUUCUUCCAGUUGUUGGGAUUACACAGCGCCUCAUGUUUGGCCUGAUUCCUCCCAUCUUGCAGCAUUUUUUCGUUCUCCUUAUUCAUGUACGCUACAUUGUCUCAUAAUAUGCCUCUAUGAAGAUAUUCGCUUGAGUUAGUGGCGCUAUAAUGAUUGAACACAAGCAAAAAAAUUGAGUUGUCAUGUUUCACGUGUCUUUGGCUACUUCUGACACUCCUGCCCUACACGAAUUUUACUGGAUUUGAGGAAGAUAGAUUCAUCUAUCUUAUAUUCCGACUGUUUUGGAUUCGUGUGUAUGCUUCAUUCGGCUAUAAAGAGUUCGGCUUCUUGUCGUUCUCACUUAACAACUUAAAUAUUUUUAGGUUUAAACUAGUUAUUAAGAAUCCCUCUUAAUAAUCGUGAAGUGUAGUUGAUAUCAAUAAAACUUUGCAGCAUAAAUUUUUUGGUUUGAUGAUAUUUUUUGGUAUUAGGUUUUAUGAUUUUUUUUUUUAAAAGAUAGAAAUUCAAGGAACUUUUUGUCCUUGUCUAUGACAUGGACAUACAAAUCAUUGUUUUUCAAUAUACAUUAGCGCAUCCAAACGGCUAAACAUGAAAAAGAGACUUAUUUAAUAGACGUCAACUUAAUUGAGGACCAAGUUGAUUGAUAGUACGUCAACACUAGUUUUUUUAGUUAUAUUUUUGUCAUUUUUGUAAUGUUUUGAGAGUCAAAUGUUUGAAUACAUGGAUAAAUCAACUCAAGAUUCUCAAAAGAGAAGUUUUGCACAAAUUGGAGAAAAAUACAAGAAUUUAGCUACUGGAGAAAUCGUGCCACAAUGAACCUGAAUCGUGGCACGUUUGAAGCGUGAAGUUUACCUGAAGAUGUUGGAAAAAUCGUGGUACGAUGGAUGCGUAACGUGCCACGACAGUUGAGUAAAUUUGCUGCCACGUAGGAUUAAUGAGCAAAUCGUGCCACGAUGGUCUCGAAACGUGGCACGAUGGUGGGCUUUCUAAAACCCUAAUUUUGUGUCUAUAAAAGUCAGAAGCAACUAGAGAUUAAAGGUGUGCGAUUUUGGAGACCUAAACAGAGCAUAGACGGCACCAAGAAGCUGAAGAACACGUGGUGGAUCUCACCCAACUCAUAGUUGGUUCUGAUUUAUGUAUGUUCUAUUAUUUCUAUGUAUUUGAUUGUUUAGUUAUGAGUAGCCAUGAGAUGAAUCUUUGUGAUCUGUGAGCAUGUAAUUUGUUACGAACGCUCUUUGACAUCGAUGAAAACCUAGUCUUUAUUCAGAAUUAUUUGUGCUUAACGCUUUUCUUAUGAUUGUUUGUAUGACUACUAACCCUGGCUUCUUUCAAUCACAUAAAUUGAUCUUAGGAAUUGAAUGACUACCAACCAUAACUUUUAAUCUUGAAAUAGUAAUUAUGUUUAAUUCAACAUAGGAACCUAGAGAUAGGAAAAUGAGGAUUAUGACUUAUGAAUUAACGUUCUCACCAUGUGUCGCGUCAUUUUUCGGAGAUCAAGACUAUUUGAUUAGCUUUUGACUCACUAAUUUAUUUCACGACUGAACAUUUAAUUUUUAAGAAAAAAGGGGAAAAAAGUUCAAACAACCCCAUAUUGAAAAGAUUUUGGGUUCGGGGGUUAGUUACAUAAAGGGAAGGUGUUAGCACCCUUUAUGUCUGUAGUACUCUACGGGAACCUCUUGGUUUUAUUUAAUUUAAUGUGCUAUAACUUGCUUGCUUUUGAAAAGAAGGAAUUAAUGUGAUGAAAAGGAAAAUAAAGUGAGACCUAAUUUAUCUACAUUUUUAUUGUUUGAAAGGACAUGGUCCUCUGCCUACGUACCCGUGAAGGAUCAAAACCUCGUAGUUCGGGGUAAAAAUGGGCGUUUGAUUGGUUUCGUGUUUUUUAUUAGUUUUGAAAAAGGUUUUAAAAGGAAAAGCCAAGUGGCAAAUAAGAAUUUUUUUGUGUUUUUUAUAUUAAAAGAAAAUGACUUAAAGUGGAAUUAAAGUUGAUUGCAAUUUUGAUUUAUGAAAGAAUAAAAUAAAAGACGAUCACUUGAUUUGGAUCAAGGUUUAUUAUAAAAAAUGUUUUUUGUGAUUUUUGUUAUUUGCAUGUUUUUUGUUGUUUUUGAAUAAUGACUAAAAUUAAACUAACGGAGCAGAAAGUAAAGCGUAGGUACCUCAUGGUGGCGUUCGACCACCACAAGGGUCUUUGACCUAAACUACAAAGCAGAUAAGAGGCACACACACGCACGCACACAUGCACCUACGACUAUUACAUAAAAGCCUAUUUACAUUCUAAGGUCUGCGAGGAAAUAAACGACGGAAAUACAAUUAUUUACAUGAAGACCUAAAUUACAUUCUAAUAUCCUUGCUCUAGAAAUAAAAUAAAUAAACAUGCAUGAGGGAAUAUAAAAUAAUAAUUACAAUGCUAAAAGGUAAAUAAAAUGCAUGAAAUGAUAAAAAAAGAGUGGUUCAAUCACAAGGUGGGGUGCAGCAGUAUUCAGGGGUGUGCAGAAUAGCAAGCAGAAAGGGAAUUGGGCCUACUGGGUGCAGCGGGCGUGCUGGGCUUAAAGGGAAGACCGGGUUCGGAUCGGUUCAGACUUGGGUCGGGUUCAAAAGGACCGAACCGGCUCAGGGAAUAUAUAAAGGGUGUAACCCUAUUUUCUCUCAUUUCCCUCUUGUCUUUCUCUCUCUAUCUCACAAGCUCUCUCCUCUCUCUAACUUCUUCUCCGGCGAGAAGGGUGGUUGGAGCAGACUCCAGUGCGGUGGCCGGCGAGCCAUCGCGGCGGCGCCGCCGCACCGGAGCUAAAAAACUCUAUUUUUUUUGCUGUUUUCACUCGACUCUCUCCCCUCUAUAACUUCUAAACCUAGAUUUUCGAAAACGUACACACAGAGGCCUAGAUCUAAAGGUAAAGAAAGUACUACCUCUUUGUUUCUUUCGCGGAUCCGGUUCUGUUAUGGUGCGGCUUCGAGUUGAUGUUGUUCCUGAUGCCGGUGGUUGGUGUUGUUUCGGACUCCCUCUGGUGUGCGAUUCUGGCUUUUCUCUCUGUGUUCUGCUCUGGGUUUUCUGUUGUGGUGUUGUG